rnacentral:rRNA from 1 species
UACGGAGGAUCCGAGCGUUAUCCGGAUUUAUUGGGUUUAAAGGGAGCGUAGGCGGGUUGUUAAGUCAGUUGUGAAAGUUUGCGGCUCAACCGUAAAAUUGCAGUUGAUACUGGCAUCCUUGAGUACAGUAGAGGUAGGCGGAAUUCGUGGUGUAGCGGUGAAAUGCUUAGAUAUCACGAAGAACUCCGAUUGCGAAGGCAGCCUGCUAAGCUGCAACUGACACUGAUGCUCGAAAGUGUGGGUAUCAAACAGG